CAGCCGCCGCGGUAAUACGAAGGGGGCUAGCGUUGCUCGGAAUGACUGGGCGUAAAGGGCGCGUAGGCGGUUCUGCAAGUUAGAUGUGAAAUUCCUGGGCUUAACCUGGGGGCUGCAUUUGAUACUGUGGGGCUUGAGUAUGGAAGAGGGUCGUGGAAUUCCCAGUGUAGAGGUGCAAUUCGCAGAUAUUGGGAAGAACACCGGUGGCGAAGGCGGCGACCUGGUCCAUAACUGACGCUGAGGCGCGAAAGCGUGGGGAGCGGACAGGAUUAGAUACCCCUGUAGUCCCUGUCUCUUAUAC
rnacentral:rRNA from 1 species